GUGUGCUGGGGGGAGAACACAGUUCGACACAGAUGGAGGCAGGAAAUGGAGGAGCUGGGGUUUCCUGCUGCCACCUAGGCCUGGAGCUGUCACAGGAGCAGGGAGGCCUCGGAGGAGCCAGAUCCCGAAGCUGCCGCAGAGAAAAUCUGACACGGGAGGUGCUGGAAGCAGCCCAGCCCGUCCCUCCUCUUACCGCCCUCACCUCCCCUGUGGAUGCAAAGUUCCAAAGUUCCACUGCGUUUUUAAAGGUGCCAUUACUUAAGCUCCAGCCUCUGUUGCCGUGAAUCCUCUGCCUAAGCUGUCUUGAAACUGCCUCCUUCUCAGCCUCCUCCAGGAAGCCUUCCUUGGAGAAGCCGACACAGAUUCCAAGCCAGCCUUCCUUGUUCUCACCAAAACAAUUUACUCAUGGACUUGGCCAUCUGUCCGUGCCUGUGCUCCGCCGUACGGGGAGAUUCCCGAGGGUAGGGUAGUGUCUCUGUCAUCACCCUGGGGGGUCUCCGUGCAUGGGAACUGCCUCUCCCAUCAGGCCAGGACCGCCCCAAAGAUGGGGACUGGGCCUCCUUCCAGUUCUGCCUCUUGGACCAAGAUCAAGAAGCCCAACUGAUGAAGCCCCGAGAGAAGGUGGGGAGCCGAGGACCACACUCCGGCACCCGGCUCAGCCCUUCCCUGAUGCCGCGUGGGGGCCAGGUGUCGUUCCAGUCUUGGCUCUGAAUGUGACUUUGGAAACCUCUUGCUUUCUGGGCUCCAGGUGAUUCCUCUGUAAUGGGAGGCCCUGGGGCACCUCCCUGCCCUUCACUUUGCCACACAGCUCGAGCGACGUUCGGUUUGCCCGUCGUUCCCUGGGCUGUGGCCCACCCGCCCAGCCCCACUGUAAGCUUGUCAGUUGACCCGGCUGCCAGCAGCGCUACCCCCAGCCCUGUGGCGGGACGAGUGGGUGAGCGGGCCGCACGCCCCGGGUUAUUGCAUGGAGUAGGCUGACAAAGGCCAUCGGAAGAUGUAUCGUUUAAUAGGAGAUUAAAAACCAACAAGA